rnacentral:sRNA from 1 species
CUGUAUAAAAUACAUAUGCCACAUUGCGCGCGGUAAAACGUACGCAUAUGACGGUUCUGUGCGUGUGUUGCUGUGUGUAUAUUUAUACACAACAACACACAAGCGGUCCGUUUAAAUAUAAUAAACUGACGUUGAUCCGUGUUUAUAUGAUAUGACAUAUACGACAAUUUUGUCGAACGAUCGACUGUGUACCGCCGUAAAAAAGCGGUGCGCUUUCGACUCUUCGCGUGUUCACAUGUGAUACAUACGAGAGGGUUGUUAGCGUUAACACGUUGUCGAUAUUGUGAGAUAAUAUAUAUUGACGUAUAUCAAAAUGUUAUGUUAAUUAUAAACUAAAGAUCGACAUUAGUAGGCGGACUCGACGUCCGAAGAGCGCAUCGACGCCGUUGUCGUUAUAUAUACGCGGUUAACUCUCGCGUGUUGUAGCGGUUGCGUCGUCGUAACGCUGACGGAUAUCGCGUCUGCCUCAUUUUUUUAUCGUUGGCCUCAGAUCAGGGAGGAUCACCCGCCGAAUUUAAGCAUAUUAGUAAGCGGAGGAAAAGAAACUAACUAGGAUUUCCUUAGUAGCGGCGAGCGAACAGGAAAGAAGCCCAGCACUGAAUCCCGCCGUUGUUCAAGCGGCGGGAGAUGUGGUGUUCGGGAGGUUCCGCUUUCUCGUCGCGAUCACUCCUGUCCAAGUUCGUCUUGAACGGGGCCGUUUUCCCGUAGAGGGUGCCAGGCCCGUAGCGACGGAGUAUCGCGGCGAGAGGGACUCUCCUUAGAGUCGGGUUGCUUGAGAGUGCAGCCCUAAGUGGGUGGUAA